rnacentral:ncRNA from 2 species
UACGCUGCGGGAAGCGCUGGUUCACCCGGUCGGCGACGGCCGGGUGUCGUAAGAGGGAACCCGGUGGGAAUCCGGGACUGCCCCGCAGCGGUGAGUGGGAACGACAGCCGUCAACAGCACUGGGCCACCGGCCUGGGAAGCGACGGCCAGUAGGCGACCUCGUGUCACGCCCGCGAGUCCGAAGACCUGCCCGCGUCGCGCGUACCAC